rnacentral:lncRNA from 1 species
AGUAUCAGAGUCUAUGUGAAUGAAGCCGAGUAAGCUGCCUCCACUCUGAGGGCCUCUCAGCGAGCACGGAACUCACCAAGUUCAUUAUGCUAGCUGCCUGGUGAGCCCCGGAGAUCCACCUUCCCAGCACAAGAUCACGAACAUGUACCACCACAAUCUGUCUCCCCCCACAAAUUCUGGGGAUUAGACUCAGGUCCUCAGGUUUGUGCAGCAAGCACAUUUACCAACAGAGCCUCCUCUGCAACCCAUGUGCCGUGGAUGACUUGUUGACCAUGAUACUUCACAAAACUGCAAGAGUUCCUACCACAAGGCUGGCAUGAAUGUCGGGACCACUAGGCCUGCAGAAAGGCUUCAUGGCUAUGCAUCACAUCGGACUUUCUCAGCACAGCCAGGGAAACGGAGCAAUUGAUCUAGGAAAAGACUCCACUGAGAAAAAAAGAAUGGCAAGAAAGAAGUAGGAGAACAUCCGAGACUUUGCUCUCCUGCACAUCCGCUUAACCCUAGGACGGCUGCCUUCCUGACACAUCUCAAUCCCUGCCCAAUCCCUGCCUGGAGGGAGGAGCCAGGGAAACAAUAUCUUUGCUAGGACUUGUGAGAAGGGACAUGCUUAUCUUCUUGUGGUUCUAGAUAGCCUUGUGUGGUUGAAACUGCCUAAGGAUCACAGUCGUGGGUCUGCCUCUCCACACUGCAGCUCAUGGCCACCUUCUAAGUUAGACUCUAAGAACCAGGAUUUAGACAGGGAGUCAUAUAAAACCCUGGCCCGACU